rnacentral:ncRNA from 1 species
UGCCGAGAACCGUGAGGAAACGUCUCCCCUUGCGGAUCAGGUGAAAUACAGAGAAAAAGAGGAG